GGGGGCGAAACGGCUUCGACGGGGAUAUAGAAACAUAGGUUGCAUACCGAGUUCCUGCCGACUCGUAAAAAAGGUGGGAUUAAAAUAAUCGCAGACGAUUAUAACUACGCUUUAGCCGCGUAAUGUAGGCUAACGCCCUCCCGGGUUUUCCUGCGAACCCGGAAAGGGCGUCGAUUAGCAGGAUAGCCUCUUGUGGUUGCCUGUUACACACGAGGCGAAAUUUAUAACAGGCUAACUUCUCAAGUAUCCGGCCUGAAGGAGCCUUGAGAAGUGAAAAUGAAAAUUCAGGCUAUGUAUGUAGAAGCCUAUGUGGAAUAUUGUCGGACGCGGGUUCGACUCCCGCCGCCUCCACCA
rnacentral:tmRNA from 1 species